rnacentral:rRNA from 1 species
CAGCAGCCGCGGUAAUACGUAGGGUGCAAGCGUUAAUCGGAAUUACUGGGCGUAAAGCGUGUGCAGGCGGUUCUAUAAGACAGAUGUGAAAUCCCCGGGCUCAACCUGGGAACUGCAUUUGUGACUGUAGAGCUGGAGUGCGGCAGAGGGGGAUGGAAUUCCGCGUGUAGCAGUGAAACGCGUAGAUAUGCGGAGGAACACCGAUGGCGAGGGCAAUCCCCUGGGCCUGCACUGACGCUCAUGCACGAAAGCGUGGGGAGCGAACAGGAUUAGAUACCCGAGUAGUCCCUGUCUCUUAUAC